GACGAACGCUGGCGGCGUGCCUAACACAUGCAAGUCGAACGGAGUUAAAUUCGACACCCGAGUAUCCGGCCGGGAGGCGGGGUGCUGGGGGUUGGAUUUAACUUAGUGGCGGACGGGUGAGUAACGCGUGAGUAACCUGCCUUUCAGAGGGGGAUAACGUUCUGAAAAGAACGCUAAUACCGCAUAACAUGAAGCCACCGCAUGGUGAUUUCAUCAAAGGAGCAAUCCGCUGGAAGAUGGACUCGCGUCCGAUUAGCCAGUUGGCGGGGUAACGGCCCACCAAAGCGACGAUCGGUAGCCGGACUGAGAGGUUGAACGGCCACAUUGGGACUGAGACACGGCCCAGACUCCUACGGGAGGCAGCAGUGGGGGAUAUUGCACAAUGGGGGAAACCCUGAUGCAGCAACGCCGCGUGAGGGAAGAAGGUUUUCGGAUUGUAAACCUCUGUUCUUAGUGACG
rnacentral:rRNA from 1 species